AUGGCUGGAGAUCUGAAUUGGGACUGGCUAAAUGCAGAUUCGGAUGAAUUUAAAUCUUUCUGUGACUCUAUUAAUCUUAUCCAGCUGGUCAACCUACCAACAAGGCCAAAUCUUAAAAAAUCUGAAAAGUCCACUUUGAUUGAUCUAAUUCUCACAAAUGUUCCUCAUAAAUUCUUAUCCUUGGGAGUUUUCUGCAAUGAUUUGAGUGAUCAUUGUGUUGUUGCUACCUGCAGGGACACAAAGAUCCCCAAACGUAAACCACGUAUUAUUUUCAAGAGGAAUUUAAAAAUGUUUAAUGAACAGGCUUUUCAUCAUGAUUUGUCUUUGGUAAAUUGGGGACACAUAGGUCUUUUGCCGGACGUGGAGUUAGCUUGGACAUUCUUUAAGGAACACUUUGUGAAAAUUGUAAAUAAACAUGCCCCCAUCGGGAAAUUCAGGGGUAAGGGACGAGAUAAUCCGUGGUUCUCCCCAGAGUUGUCAGAAACCAUCCAUCGACGUAAUGUGGCAUGGGCCAAAGCCAGAAAAAGUGAUUUUGCCUCUGACUGGUCUAUUUUCAGGCAACUAUGGAACAAAUGCACUACUCUUAUUAAAAAGGCUAAAUCUGAAUAUUAUUUAUCUGUCACAACUGAGAACCUUAAUAAUCCACAGAAAUUUUGGAAAGUAAUUAAAUCUAUAUCUGUAAGUAAAAGUCCUCCGGCUCUUCCGAUAUUUGUUCUAAAAGACUCGGUCCCAGUCUAUGAUAUAACUGAGGUUCUAAAUUGUUUUAACAAUCAUUUCGUAUUAUCUGGUUCUUUGUUUGAUUCUACGGGAGCUGCCCCUGUGUUUCCCUGCACAGAAGCUCCACGGUUUUCAGGAGAACCCUUUAAUUUCUUACCUUUUACUGUGCAGCAAGUGCAUCAAGCCCUCAAAACGUUGGAUAGCAGAAAAUCCCCUGGACCUGAUUCAAUAGAGCCCUACUUUUUAAAAAUAGCAGCUGAUUUUGUAGCACAGCCUCUUACAAUCCUUUUUAAUCUCUCAAUUGAAAACAAAAAAAUUCCAUCUGUUUGGAAGUCAGCUUUUGUUACUCCCUUAUUAAAAGGAGGAGAUCCAGCAGCUUUAACCAACUACAGGCCAAUAUCAAAUCUGUGUGCCUUGUCAAAAAUUCUUGAAUCUCUUGUGUGUGAUCAGUUAAAAGAGUUUCUAACAUUUAAUGAUCUUCUCUCAAAGAUGCAAUCAGGCUUCAGGAAAAAACACAGUACCAUCACUGCAGCUACAAAAGUGAUCAAUGAUAUAUUAGUUGCUUUUGAUAAGAAGCAGCACUGUGCUUCACUUUUUAUUGAUCUGUCAAAGGCUUUUGACACUGUGGACCAUGCUGUUUUAGGCUUUUUUGCUUGGGUUUGUCAAAUCAUGUAG
rnacentral:lncRNA from 1 species